UACGUAGGGGGCAAGCGUUGUCCGGAUUUACUGGGUGUAAAGGGAGCGUAGACGGCUGUGCAAGCCAGAUGUGAAAGCCCGGGGCUCAACCCCGGGACUGCAUUUGGAACUGUGUAGCUGGAGUGUCGGAGAGGCAGGCGGAAUUCCUAGUGUAGCGGUGAAAUGCGUAGAUAUUAGGAGGAACACCGGCGGCGAAGGCGGCCUGCUGGACCGUAACUGACGUUGAGGCUCGAAAGCGUGGGGAGCAAACAGG
rnacentral:rRNA from 1 species